AUACGGGGGGAGCGAGCGUUGUCCGGAAUCACUGGGCGUAAAGGGCGUGUAGGCGGGUAGGUCAGUCAGAUGUGAAAGCCCACGGCUUAACCGUGGAAUUGCAUUUGAUACUGCUUAUCUUGAGUGUGAGAGAGGGUAGUGGAAUUCCCAGUGUAGCGGUGAAAUGCGUAGAUAUUGGGAAGAACACCAGUAGCGAAGGCGGCUACCUGGCUCAUAACUGACGCUAAUGCGCGAAAGCGUGGGGAGCAAACAGGAUUAGAAACCCUGGUAGUCC
rnacentral:rRNA from 1 species